AGUGGCGAACGGGUGAGUAACACGUGGGUAACCUGCCCAUCAGAAGGGGAUAACACUUGGAAACAGGUGCUAAUACCGUAUAACAAUCGAAACCGCAUGGUUUUGAUUUGAAAGGCGCUUUCGGGUGUCGCUGAUGGAUGGACCCGCGGUGCAUUAGCUAGUUGGUGAGGUAACGGCUCACCAAGGCCACGAUGCAUAGCCGACCUGAGAGGGUGAUCGGCCACAUUGGGACUGAGACACGGCCCAAACUCCUACGGGAGGCAGCAGUAGGGAAUCUUCGGCAAUGGACGAAAGUCUGACCGAGCAACGCCGCGUGAGUGAAGAAGGUUUUCGGAUCGUAAAACUCUGUUGUUAGAGAAGAACAAGGAUGAGAGUAACUGUUCAUCCCUUGACGGUAUCUAACCAGAAAGCCACGGCUAACUACGUGCCAGCAGCCGCGGUAAUACGUAGGUGGCAAGCGUUGUCCGGAUUUAUUGGGCGUAAAGCGAGCGCAGGCGGUUUCUUAAGUCUGAUGUGAAAGCCCCCGGCUCAACCGGGGAGGGUCAUUGGAAACUGGGAGACUUGAGUGCAGAAGAGGAGAGUGGAAUUCCAUGUGUAGCGGUGAAAUGCGUAGAUAUAUGGAGGAACACCAGUGGCGAAGGCGGCUCUCUGGUCUGUAACUGACGCUGA
rnacentral:rRNA from 1 species